GUCCGAGAAAGAGGGGGAGGAGGAGGAGGUCCAUGAUGGUAUGCGUGGAACGAUGUGAAGCUAAAAGGCGGCGGAGGAGGUAAAUCCACUGAGCGCCUGUCGUACGAGAGGAGCAACGAUCCAAAUGUUCCUGAAAAGCAGACAAGACGAGUUUCCUCCCGGACAUUUUGAAGCAGAAGCCGUAAAGAAAGUGCACGCUCUCCACCCAGAGGACAGCUCCCUCACUCCCGACGUCAUUCCGACCGCCAUCCAUCAGCUCAAGGCUCCCGUCCCUGGAGGGAUUGACGACGCUGCGCCAGGAAUGGAAGGAAAUGGCACCGUUGCAAAUGACACCAUGUAAACUUUGUCGUGGAAAUGUGAUUAAAGGGGAGCGGAAUUCCUGGCGGGAUCUGAC